UAUCUACUCCCUCCGUUCUAAAUUACUCGUCGCAGAAAUGGAUGUAUCUAGAACUAAAAUACAUCUAGAUACAUCCAUACCUAUGACAAGUAAUUCGAAACGGAGGGAGUAGUUU
rfam:Triticum aestivum genome assembly, contig: Triticum_aestivum_CS42_TGACv1_scaffold_212260_3AS